CAAGGAACUACUUAUGGAAGUAUUCUGAAUGCAAUCAGAUCUUCCAUCCGCAGUUCUGAUAGUGAUUUAGGAAGCAACAUCACCAGUUCUCUUCUCACAAUGCUAAUUACCGGGGGAAGCUCUGGCUUUGGGAUGAGACAGGAGCCCCAGUUGACUGCUAAUGAGCCAUUUGAUGUGAACACCAGAAAGUUUUCACUAUAACAUCUUAAGCAAUCUUACACACCUCCUGCUUUCAUAUAGUUUGGGUGCAUAGAUACCGAUUGAAGUUAUCGGAGAGAGAAAUAAAGUCUUACUAUCAAUUCCUUUUGAAUAAGGC